AUUGAACGCUGGCGGCAGGCCUAACACAUGCAAGUCGAACGGUAACAGGAAACAGCUUGCUGUUUCGCUGACGAGUGGCGGACGGGUGAGUAAUGUCUGGGAAACUGCCUGAUGGAGGGGGAUAACUACUGGAAACGGUAGCUAAUACCGCAUAACGUCGCAAGACCAAAGAGGGGGACCUUCGGGCCUCUUGCCAUCAGAUGUGCCCAGAUGGGAUUAGCUAGUAGGUGGGGUAACGGCUCACCUAGGCGACGAUCCCUAGCUGGUCUGAGAGGAUGACCAGCCACACUGGAACUGAGACACGGUCCAGACUCCUACGGGAGGCAGCAGUGGGGAAUAUUGCACAAAGGGCGCAAGCCUGAUGCAGCCAUGCCGCGUGUAUGAAGAAGGCCUUCGGGUUGUAAAGUACUUUCAGCGGGGAGGAAGGGAGUAAAGUUAAUACCUUUGCUCAUUGACGUUACCCGCAGAAGAAGCACCGGCUAACUCCGCG
rnacentral:rRNA from 1 species